rnacentral:rRNA from 1 species
UCCUACGGGAGGCAGCAGUCGAGGAUCUUCGGCAAUGGGCGCAAGCCUGACCGAGCGACGCCGCGUGUGCGAUGAAGGCCUUCGGGUUGUAAAGCACUGUCGAGGGGGAGGAACGCCCGCAAGGGCCUGACCUAUCCCUGGAGGAAGCACGGGCUAAGUUCGUGCCAGCAGCCGCGGUACAU